UAAUAAAUUAAUAUGAGGUGUGUUUUUAUCAACUUAACCACUUGGUUGUUUUUGCUUCAGAAAAGCAACUAGUUAUAAAUGUAAGGGCUUUUUGGACAACUUCGGUGAAAAAGUGUUGAUUUCGUAGUUCAGUCAGCGUAACUUAUAUCCGAGAGGUCUUACAGGCGCCACAGACACCUAUCAGCCUUUUGUAAGGAGGAGCAGCUCGAGUACGGUGCGGUCCGGUCAGUGUUAGCUGCUUAGUUUCUCAAAUUACUAUUACUGAUAAAGUGUUAAAACUUAGAUGAGAUGUUGGUGUUUUAUGGCUCACGAAUUCGCAAUAACGGAUACGUAUAGCAGUUCGUGUUAAUGACAUUAAUCCAAACUUAUUGAUGACAUGAUAACAUGGGCGUCGAAUCCAAUAUUAAUCAUGCUGAGGUUUUCUCGACGGGGUAAUGUGUAUAAAUGCAGUUAUAAAAUUAAAAGGGACAAGAUAGUCGACGUGACCCUCAUGUUUCCAUGGCAAUCACUCAAUUACGCUUAUGACGCUCACCUGCGGUCAUUCGCGCAGUAUCCACGAUUUUAAGCGGCUUGAAACACUUAAGUUAACUCCUUUGUACGAAAAUAUCAUGUCGUAGCCCUUCAAAUUAGAAUAGUGAUGAUGAUCUUGUCAAUGCUGAGAUUUUCAUGCAUCAACAGCCACUACAUCUGGAUCAGAUUGAACAAGAAACAGACAGCAAGGGUUGUCAGGUCAGAAACAGAAUGACACACAAACACAAGAAACUUCACAGGCAGAUCAACAUGCAAUUUGAAGACGUGUGAUAAAAUACAGAGAGGUGAAGUAGUGUGUCUUUCCAGAUCCCCAAAUCAUUCCCCCUUAAAAGAUGAGCCUGAAGAGGAGAUUUGGGAAGAUGCUGUUUCGUAAGUCGCUUUGCCAGAUCACCUGUGGUCGGGAUGUCUGCUAACAAGAUGCCUUGCUGGUCUGGGCGAGUUUAAAGGCUUACACAGACAAUCCAGAAGUUCUGAAGUCCAUCUUCGAUUUCAUUGAUGCUGUCAUCGUAUUAAGUACAGCAUGAGCUAGAAUUGAUUGAUUGGUGGUGGCCAUAAGAAGACUGUCAACUAAACCAACAACAAAAUUCAUAUUUGCAGUUUUUCUUGAAUAAAGUUUUUCUAUUCAGAUUAAUAAAAUGACUUUUAAACAUGAUUUUGUUUAAUAUUUUAUGAUUUUAUUAUAUAUUUAGAAAAUUCCACUUCUGCACUACUAACUGGAAACCUAACUGUUUGAAAGAAUGUGUUUUUAUCCAUUAAAAAAUAUUUUUAACAGCUGCUUUCAUGUUUAUUUGAAAAGAGUAGGCACCUUCCAUUUUAUUUGUCCACAUUUAAACUUUACCUUCCUUAAGUGUUUAGUUUUAUGAAUGGGGUUGUACUGUAAGUUAUGCGUAGCAAGUUGCAUUCAUAUGAUAAUUGCACUAAAAAUGACAAGUUUACAGUAAAUAAUUUAGUGAGUAUUGCAGUGUAAAGUAAAAAUCUAUAUUUAGUGUUAAAAACAACAAGGAAAUAGAAGGUUGAAAUUGCGUCAUGAUAUCAACCAUAAUUCACCUAUGUUGAAAGUGUGACGUUGAAACAACGUCGUGAUUUCAACGUUGAAAUUUUUUUCAAAACCGAAAGGUAAUCCAACGUUGAUUCAACGUUGGUACCUGACGUUGAUUCAACAUUGAAUCAACGUUGAAAUGCCGACUGGGAAGUUUACUCCAAUUAUUGUAGUGUGGGCUUUUUUCAUUUUACGGCUAGCCUGAUUGAGCCCGUGGCACAGCUGUGAGCUAACAGUUAACGUUAGUGGAUAUUUGUUUUAUAUCUUUAAUAAAAACGUGUUGUGAAACAUUUUUUCUUAAGUGUAUUAAACAAAUUAUAUCGCAAGUUUACUCCAUGUAUUGCAAUGUAUGUGUGCUUUGUUCAGCUCCCUAUCAAAAUUACAUUAACUACUCUACUUUAAAAUGUUAAAGGCCAUUCUGAAUAAAUAACUGUUGUAUAUUUAUUGUUACUUCUUUCAGAUCCUUUUCUUGGUGUGUCUCGAUGUUUUCUAUUGGCUAAAGACAUGUCUCUGUGAAACUGACAAUCUCAGGUAGGAGCUGCUGGUUUGUGGUUGGCAGUAUGGAUCACAGUCUGCGACUCAUGAGGAGCUGGGCUGGAGACAUGAAGAGGUUGUCAACAGGCCAUCCAUCCAAGAUCAUCUAUCUGAGCUGCUGAAAACUGCCUCGGUACGGAUCUGUUGGAGCUUUGUGUCACUGACUGUAUUUCUGCAAAUUCCUGUUCCGUGUCACAUGGCUUAUGCAAGACUGAAUCCAUAAAGAUGCUGUAACCAUAAAGUUACCAGGACAACACACCUGGAGUGACCGAGAGCAGGAUGAAGAAAGAAUCGGACAAGAAAAUAUCAACUGGUGCCCAUGAGGAGACAUAUUGUUCUUGGACCUGCUUUUUCUGUUUAGUAAUAAGUGGUUUUAUGUGGUUACAUAAAAGUAAUUUAAUAUUCAAUCCACAAGCUAAAUUUCCUACAUUUUCUUAAAAGGGUAGUUGACCCAAAAAGGAAAAUUCUGUCAUUUACACAAACAGUUUGGUUACCAACAUUUCUCACAAUAUCUGCCUUCCUGUUUAUCAGAACAAAGAAAUUUAUGCGGGUUUGUAACAACAUGAGAGUGUGUAAAUGAUGACAUAAUUUUCAUUUUUGGGUGAAGUACCCCUUUAACAUUUUUAUACACAGGGGUAGGGGUGUGCAGCGGAGUCAGUAUUUGUAUCUGUAACAGUCUCAAAAUAAUUUGUAUCUGUAUUUGUAUUCGGAUUAAACCGGAAGUGGGUGGGUUGACAACUCAUAUUACAUUAAAAUGGCAUUUUAAAUGCAUUUUUGCUUUUUAUUAUAAUUAUAACUUAAAUAACUGUAAAUAUUUAUUCAAGAUAAUACAAAAUUUUAAUCAAAAAGACAAAUAACUUGAUUCUCGUUAGUAAUACUCAUGGAAAGCAAACAACUCAUUUUUAAAGCCUCAUACAGCUUGUGCUAUGCAUCAUUGUAUUGUAGCAUUAAAAUAACAAACUUGAAAGCACGUUGACAAAACUGUAGGGUAGAUCACCUUUAAAUGUUUAUUGUGCCUGUCAGCACAGUUCCAUGAGACCUAUUCUUUCUAAAUGAGUGCGAUGUUUUCAGAAAAAAAUAAGUAGCCUAAUCCCUAGUCUAGCGAUUUAAAUAUAGUAAUUAAACAUCUAAAAUGAUCGUUAUUUGUAAGUUUUCUAAAAGAGUGAAAUAUAACCUAAUACUACUCGUAUAUCCAUGUCUGACAUCUUGGUUUCAGUUUAAAAACAUGCAGGAAUUUGAAAAUAAAAUGCAGGACUUGCUUGAUGCUUAAAGAGUUAUUAAGGGAGAUAAAGUUCGGGAACUGAUUUCAAACUCGCGCUGACUGACAGAUCCGAAAUGCAACGCAGGGACACGCAAGUGGCGCAGUAUAUGCACAGAAUAGUUCAAAAACAUCUGUUUUGAUAAGAAUUUACGAAAGCAUAAUAAGCAUUAGAACAAACUUGCUGAGCUCAUUUUUAUCUAUGUCCAUAUAGCGUUUGCGCGAAUAUAACGAAUUGUUUAAAAAAAAAACUUUCUUAUUAUUCUUCAUCUAAAUAAAUAAAUAAUCAGUUUAAAUUUUUAAAUAACAGUAUGCUCUAUAAAAAAUAAGUUUUGACUUAGUUCAAAACCAGCAACAUGAUUUAAAACAAUAAUGUAAUUAGAAAUAUUUAAUUCAAAUGUUUCAGUUGUUAUUUGCUUACUUUAUUUUUAUUUUUAUUGCAAUUCAUGUCAUAGUAUUCUUCAGUUUAAAUUUUGCUUUUAAAUUGUUACAUUUUCAUAUUUUUAUCUAUUUACUUAUUUAUUUUAUAUUCACCUAGAUUGACAAUAAAGCUUGCUUUGACUAGAAGUAAUUAAAAUAUCAUCUACCGGUGCCACAGAGAUACAGAGUUAUUAACGAAUAUUUUAUUAUCAGAGUGCAGCAUUUUAUCAAGGUUUUCUGUCCUAAUUAAAUAAAACGGAUUUUUUUUACAGUUGGGUUAAAAGAAGUUUGAUAUUAGCAGCGUUUUUAAGAUUUUAAACUAAUUCCAAAACAGCUCGCGUUUCUAAAUAAGGGUUGCGCCGAAAAUGUCAUUUUAUAGAUUGCACUCAUUCACUUCACACACAUAUUAUUCUUGCUUUACGGGGUUUAUAAUUUAGAGCUGUUCCAGUAAACAUGUGAUUAUGUCUGGCCGAAUAUUUUCUCUGUUAUUCGGAUGAAUUCGUUGUUCGUUUUGAAGCUAUUAUCCGUGCCCUUCCGAAUAACGUAUUCGGCUUCGGUCACAUCCCUACCCAGGGGUAAAAGAAAUGUAUAUUAAACAUUUUGUCUUUUUUUGUUACUGCUACUUUCAACAAGACUAAUUAUUCAGCCAAGCUUAUUUUGUACUUUAAGAAAUUAACAGCUUUUAUGGUUUUUAAGACACAGAUAUGUGCUCACAGUUUGCCCAUAGAAUGCCCAGUGGUCCCACAAUUUUCCCGCAGUAUGCCCACAUUUUUCCCACGUAUUUGUAUUUAAAUAAAUUUUCCACACAGUAUUUUGUAUUUGUGAUAUCUGAAUUUGUGAUAGUAAUUUGAAUUUUAAAACAAUUCCAUGUAUGUAUGGCUAUCUCAGAUCAUAUGCAUGUGAAAGGCAGUUUCUGGUAUAAAUAGCAGAACACAAAAGGCUUUCUGUGUCAGAAAUGCAGUCAAAAAGUGGGACAACAAGGAUAACUGAUCAUGAAGGUAAGAAUCUUAACCAUGCCAGGUGAGGGAUAUAUUA